rnacentral:sRNA from 1 species
ACUCAACACUAACAAAUUAGAAUGAGCAAAUCGUCGCUACUAAAGCAAGCCGCUGAAACCGCGGAUCCUUGAACAGCGAGUUAGCUCAAAACUUGUCUUUACGAGUUU